UACGUAGGGUGCGAGCGUUGUCCGGAAUUAUUGGGCGUAAAGAGCUCGUAGGCGGUCUGUCGCGUCGAUCGUGAAAACUUGGGGCUUAACCCUGAGCUUGCGGUCGAUACGGGCAUGACUGGAGUUCGGCAGGGGAGACUGGAAUUCCUGGUGUAGCGGUGAAAUGCGCAGAUAUCAAGCGGAACACCGGUGGCGAAGGCGGCCUUCUGGACAGUGACUGACGCUGAGACGCGAAAGCGUGGGGAGCAAACAGG
rnacentral:rRNA from 1 species